rnacentral:rRNA from 1 species
AGUGAACGCUGGCGGUAGGCCUAACACAUGCAAGUCGAACGGCAGCACAGUAAGAGCUUGCUCUUACGGGUGGCGAGUGGCGGACGGGUGAGGAAUACAUCGGAAUCUACUUUUUCGUGGGGGAUAACGUAGGGAAACUUACGCUAAUACCGCAUACGACCUACGGGUGAAAGCAGGGGAUCUUCGGACCUUGCGCGAUUGAAUGAGCCGAUGUCGGAUUAGCUAGUUGGCGGGGUAAAGGCCCACCGAGGCGACGAUCCGUAGCUGGUCUGAGAGGAUGAUCAGCCACACUGGAACUGAGACACGGUCCAGACUCCUACGGGAGGCGGCAGUGGGGAAUAUUGGACAAUGGGCGCAAGCCUGAUCCAGCCAUACCGCGUGGGUGAAGAAGGCCUUCGGGUUGUAAAGCCCUUUUGUUGGGAAAGAAAAGCAGCAGGUUAAUACCCCGCUGUUCUGACGGUACCCAAAGAAUAAGCACCGGCUAACUUCGUG